UUACUCCCUCCACUGCAAAUUAGCUGAUCUCUUUCACAACCCACCUCCUAAGCGUCAGAUCCUGAAGAUCGGCUGCAUUCCUCCACGGCCCCGCCACUCACGUGAACUUCUCGACGUCAUCUUUGAUGCAACUUGGGAUGGAUGGAACCCAACUGAAUAGCUUGUCUGGGACACAACCGUGGCUAUAAGUCAAUAUGCUUGGAGAAAAUUUGGUUGAGGAAUAUUGUACUGAUGUACUGAAGUUAGAUCGAGGAAUAUUGUACUGAUGUUAAAUACUUUUUUAUGUUAUUAAAUUAUAAUUUACGUAUCGACUUUUUUGCA